rnacentral:rRNA from 2 species
ACGGAAGGCAGCAGUGGGGAAUAUUGCACAAUGGGCGAAAGCCUAAUGCAGCGACGCCGCGUGAGUGAAGAAGUAUCUCGGUAUGUAAAGCUCUAUCAGCAGGGAAGAAAAUGACGGUACCUGACUAAGAAGCCCCGGCUAACUACGUGCCAGCAGCCGCGGUAAUACGUAGGGGGCAAGCGUUAUCCGGAUUUACUGGGUGUAAAGGGAGCGUAGACGGUUUGGCAAGUCUGAAGUGAAAUGCGGGGGCUCAACUCCUGAACUGCUUUGGAAACUGUCGAACUAGAGUGCAGGAGAGGUAAGUGGAAUUCCUAGUGUAGCGGUGAAAUGCGUAGAUAUUAGGAGGAACACCAGUGGCGAAGGCGGCUUACUGGACUGUAACUGACGUUGAGGCUCGAAAGCGUGGGGAGCAAACAGGAUUAGAUACCCUGGUA